AGCGAACGCUGGCGGCGUGCCUAACACAUGCAAGUUGAACGUGAAAGGGAGCACUCCCAAGUAAAGUGGCGUACGGGUGAGUAACACGUAGGUAAUCUACCCCAGAAUCUGGAAUAACCGGCCGAAAGGCUGGCUAAUACUGGAUAGAGCGACGGAAUCCGUAAUUGGGUUUUUCGGGAAAGGGAGCCUGUAAAAAGGCCUUCGUUCUGGGAUGAGCCUGCGUCCCAUCAGCUAGUUGGUGAGGUAAAAGCUUACCAAGGCAAUGACGGGUAGCUGGUCUGAGAGGACGAUCAGCCACACUGGAACUGAAACACGGUCCAGACGCCUACGGGAGGCAGCAGUGGGGAAUCUUGCGCAAUGGACGAAAGUCUGACGCAGCAACGCCGCGUGAGUGAAGAAGGCCUUCGGGUUGUAAAGCUCUGUCGAGUGGGACGAAAAUGCUUGGAGUUCACAGCUCCAGGAACUGACGGUACCACUAAAGGAAGCACCGGCUAACUCCGUG
rnacentral:rRNA from 1 species